CUUCUGGUGAUGAUAUUAAUCCAGUUCUGCUACUGAAACAGAAGCGAUGAUACCCAAUGGAUCUGAAGAAG